rnacentral:rRNA from 1 species
GAUGAACGCUGGCGGCGUGCCUAAUACAUGCAAGUCGAGCGAACAGACGAGGAGCUUGCUCCUCUGAUGUUAGCGGCGGACGGGUGAGUACACGUGGAUAACCUACCUAUAAGACUGGGAUAACUUCGGGAAACCGGAGCUAAUACCGGAUAACAUGUUGAACCGCAUGGUUCCAACGUGAAAGACGGUCUUGCUGUCACUUAUAGAUGGAUCCGCGCCGCAUUAGCUAGUUGGUAAGGUAACGGCUUACCAAGGCAACGAUGCGUAGCCGACCUGAGAGGGUGAUCGGCCACACUGGAACUGAGACACGGUCCAGACUCCUACGGGAGGCAGCAGUAGGGAAUCUUCCGCAAUGGGCGAAAGCCUGACGGAGCAACGCCGCGUGAGUGAAGAAGGUCUUCGGAUCGUAAAACUCUGUUAUUAGGGAAGAACAAAUGUGUAAGUAACUAUGCACGUCUUGACGGUACCUAAUCAGAAAGCCACGGCUAACUACGUG